rnacentral:pre_miRNA from 1 species
CAGUGUAACGCCAAGUGGGAGCUGGUUGUUCCUGUUAAAGGAACAGCCAAUUCCCACCUGGCGUUACAUUGA